UCGAGCGAGCUGAAUUCAAAGAUCCCUUCGGGGUGAUUUGUUGGACGCUAGCGGCGGAUGGGUGAGUAACACGUGGGCAAUCUGCCCUAAAGACUGGGAUACCACUUGGAAACAGGUGCUAAUACCGGAUAACAACAUGAAUCGCAUGAUUCAAGUUUGAAAGGCGGCGCAAGCUGUCACUUUAAGAUGAGCCCGCGGCGCAUUAGCUAGUUGGUGGGGUAAAGGCCUACCAAGGCAAUGAUGCGUAGCCGAGUUGAGAGACUGAUCGGCCACAUUGGGACUGAGACACGGCCCAAACUCCUACGGGAGGCAGCAGUAGGGAAUCUUCCACAAUGGACGCAAGUCUGAUGGAGCAACGCCGCGUGAGUGAAGAAGGUCUUCGGAUCGUAAAGCUCUGUUGUUGGUGAAGAAGGAUAGAGGCAGUAACUGGUCUUU
rnacentral:rRNA from 1 species